ACGGAGGGUGCAAGCGUUAUCCGGAAUCACUGGGUUUAAAGGGUGCGUAGGCGGACUAAUAAGUCAGAGGUGAAAGCUCACAGCUUAACUGUGGAAUUGCCUUUGAUACUGUUAGUCUUGAAUUAUGUUGAGGUUAGCGGAAUGAGUCAUGUAGCGGUGAAAUGCAUAGAUAUGACUUAGAACACCAAUUGCGAAGGCAGCUAGCUAGGCAUAUAUUGACGCUGAGGCACGAAAGCGUGGGGAGCGAACAGG
rnacentral:rRNA from 1 species